GUAACGAGCGCAACCCUGUCCUUAGUUACCAGCACGUAUGUGGGCACUCUAAGGAGACUGCCGGUGACAACCGGAGGAAGGUGGGGAUGACGUCAAGUCAUCAUGGCCCUUACGGCCUGGGCUACACACGUGCUACAAUGGUCGGUACAAAGGGUUGCCAAGCCGCGAGGUGGAGCUAAUCCCAUAAAACCGAUCGUAGUCCGGAUCGCAGUCUGCAACUCGACUGCGUGAAGUCGGAAUCGCUAGUAAUCGUGAAUCAGAAUGUCACGGUGAAUACGUUCCCGGGCCUU
rnacentral:rRNA from 1 species